UACUUAGGGGGCAAGCGUUGUCCGGAUUUAUUGGGCGUAAAGAGCGUGUAGGCGGCUUUACAGGUCCGUUGUGAAAACUCGAGGCUCAACCUCGAGACGCCGGUGGAAACCGUAAAGCUAGAGUCCGGAAGAGGAGAGUGGAAUUCCUGGUGUAGCGGUGAAAUGCGCAGAUAUCAGGAGGAACACCCGUGGCGAAAGCGGCUCUCUGGGACGGUACUGACGCUGAGACGCGAAAGCGUGGGGAGCAAACAGG
rnacentral:rRNA from 1 species